AGUUUUCGGAAUCCGUGCUGAGAUUUCGUCAGACAACAACCCAUUAGGGAUGAUCACACUUCCAAGAUAAGUAAAGCU
rnacentral:pre_miRNA from 1 species